rnacentral:rRNA from 1 species
AGCAUAUCAAUAAGCGGAGGAAAAGAAACUAACAAGGAUUCCCCUAGUAACUGCGAGUGAAGCGGGAAAAGCUCAAAUUUGAAAUCUGGCAGUUGUCAACUGUCCGAGUUGUAAUCUAGAGAAGUGUUACCUGUGCUGGACCAUGUACAAGUCUCCUGGAAUGGAGCAUCAUAGAGGGUGAGAAUCCCGUCUUUGACAUGGACUGCCUGUGCAUUAUGGUGCGCUCUCAAAGAGUCGAGUUGUUUGGGAAUGCAGCUCAAAAUGGGUGGUAAAUGCCAUCUAAAGCUAAAUAUUGGCGAGAGACCGAUAGCGAACAAGUACCGUGAGGGAAAGAUGAAAAGAACUUUGGAAAGAGAGUUAAACAGUACGUGAAAUUGCUGAAAGGGAAACGCUUGAAGUCAGUCGCAUCAGCCAGAAAUCAGUCUUGCUUUUGCUUGGCGUACUUUCUGGUUUCUGAUGGGUCAGCAUCAAUUUUGACCACUGCAUAAAGUCUUUGGGAACGUGGCAUCCUUGGAUGUGUUAUAGCCCAUUGUCGUAUAUGGUGGUUGGGAUUGAGGAACUCAGCACGCCCUGCAAGGGGCCAGGUUUCGGCCAUGUCCGUGCUUAGGAUGCUGGCAUAAUGGCUUUAAUCGACCCGUCUUGAAACACGGACCAAGGAGUCUAACAUGCCUGCGAGUGUUUGGGUGGAAAACCCAUUCGCGUAAUGAAAGUGAAAGUUGAGAUCUCUGUAAAGGAGAGCAUUGACGCCCGGACCAGACCUUCUGUGACGGAUCCGCGGUAGAGCAUGUAUGUUGGGACCCGAAAGAUGGUGAACUAUGCCUGAAUAGGGUGAAGCCAGAGGAAACUCUGGUGGAGGCUCGUAGCGAUUCUGACGUGCAAAUCGAUCGUCAAAUUUGGGUAUAGGGGCGAAAGACUAAUCGAACCAUCUAGUAGCUGGUUCCUGC